GACGAACGCUGGCGGCGUGCCUAAUACAUGCAAGUAGAACGCAGUUGCGAACGGGUGAGUAACGCGUAGGUAACUGCCUGGUAGCGGGGGAGAACUAUUGGUAACGAUAGCUACUACCGCAUACUUCAAGAUGGAACUGCGUUGUAUUAGAUGGUUGGGGGGGUAACGGCUCACGAAGGCAACGAUACAUAGUCGACCUGAGAGGGUGAUCCGCCACACUGGGACUGAGGCACGGGCCAGACUCCGACGGGAGGCAGCAGUAGGGAAUCUUCGGCAAUGGACGGAAGUCUGGCCGAACAACGCCGCGUUGGUGAAGAAGGUUUUCGGAGCGUAAAGCUCUGUUGUAAGAGAAGCGGUAUCUUACCAGAAAGGGACGGCUAACUACGUGCCAGCAGCCGCGGUAAUUC
rnacentral:rRNA from 1 species